UCUCGGUAAGGCGGCGGUCACGUGUUGUUUUGCUCUUUAGUUGGGGCACUCGGUGCGCGAUGUGUUACUUACGGCGAAACUCCCGCCGGCAGCAGCCGCAGCGGCACCAGCAGCAGCGGCCGGGGAGCGGCAGCGGCGCCGCCGGUACCCGAGCCGGGGAGGACGCCGGGCGACCGCCGGCAGCACUCGCUGCCUAGAGGCGACGGCGGAGGACCCCGCUGCGGCUCCGGGUAGCCGCGCUCUUCCUGCGAAGGAAUAACUUCAUUUUACCCGCUUCACCCUCCGUCCUUUUCCCGCGGCGCUCGGCCCCCAACCCCGCUCAGCGGCAGCAGCGAGAGGAGCCGGGCGGCGCUCCCGCCGCGGGGUCGGGAAUGGCGAGCCCCGCUGUGAUGGGGCUGUUGCCCCCCCUGAGCUCCCCGCCCGGCCCCAACCUGAACAACAACAACAACAACAACCAGGGCGUGAGGAAGUGCGGGUACCUGCGCAAGCAGAAGCACGGCCACAAGCGCUUCUUCGUGCUGCGGGGUCCGGGCGGAGGGGAGGAGGCGUCGGGCGCAGGGGGCGCCCGGCUGGAGUACUACGAGAGCGAGAAGAAAUGGAGGAACAAGUCCGGGGCGCCCAAGCGGGUGAUCGCCCUGGACUCCUGCCUCAACAUCAACAAGCGGGCGGACGCCAAGCACAAGUACCUCAUCGCCCUCUACACCAAGGACGAGUACUUCGCCGUGGCGGCUGAGAACGAGCAGGAGCAGGAGGGCUGGUAUCGGGCUCUCACCGACCUGCUCAACGAGGGCAAGGCGGCUUGCCAGGGGUCCCCCCACCGCCACCUCGCCUCCCCCUUCUCCGCCUCCUGCAGCGCGGCCGCCGCCUCCCUGGCCGCCGCCGGCGAGGACCUCAAUUACGGGCUGAUCACCCCGGCCACCGCUGCUUACCGGGAGGUCUGGCAGGUGACGCUGAAGCCCAAGGGCUUGGGGCAGAGCAAAAACCUCACCGGCGUCCACCGGCUCUGCCUCUCGGCCCGCACCAUCGGGUUCGUGCGCCUCAACUGCGAGCUGCCCUCUGUCACGCUGCAGCUGAUGAACAUCCGCCGCUGCGGCCACUCCGACAGCUUCUUCUUCAUCGAGGUGGGGCGCUCGGCGGCCACCGGCCCCGGCGAGCUCUGGAUGCAGGCGGACGACUCGGUGGUGGCCCAGAACAUCCACGAGACCAUCCUGGAGGCCAUGAAGGCGCUGAAGGAGCUGUCCGAGUUCCGGCCGCGCAGCAAGAGCCAGUCGUCGUCCUCCUCCUCUUCCGGGGGUGCCGCCGGGCCCGGCGGCAGCGGCGCCUCCGCCACCCACCCCAUCACCGUGCCCGGCCGCCGGCACCACCACCUGGUCAACCUGCCUCCCAGCCAGACCGGCCUCCUCCGCCGCUCCCGCACCGACAGCCUCGCCGCCGGCGCCGGCACCAAGUGCACGCCGUGCCGGGUGCGGACGGCCAGCGAGGGCGACGGCUGCCGGGUGGGCUCGGUGGCCGGCAGCCCCAUGAGCCCGGGCCCCGUGCGGACCCCCCUCAGCCGCUCGCACACGCUCAGCAGCGGCGGCGGCGGGGGCCGGCAGGCGGGGAAGCUGCUGCCGGUGCUGGCCGGCGGCGGUCUCCAAAGCAGCCGCUCCAUGUCCAUGCCUGCCUCCCACUCCCCCCCCUCCGCCACCAGCCCCAUCAGCCUCUCCUCCAGCAGCGGCCUCGGCUCCGAGCCUGCCCACCCGCAUCACCCGCAGCGCCCGUCCAGCGGCAGCGCCUCUGUCUCCGGCUCCCCUAGUGACGCCGGCUUCAUGUCCUUCGACGAGUACGGCUCCAGCCCGGGCGGCGACAUGCGGCCCUUCUCCUCCUCCUCCACCGCCAGCAACCGCAGCAACACCCCCGAGUCGGUGGCCGAGACCCCCCCGGUGCGGGACCCCGGGGGCGGCACCGACCUCUACGGCUACAUGGCGAUGGAGCGGCCCCCGAGCGGCCGCUUCUGCUACCGGCCCUGCCCCGACGCCGCGGCCGACAGGGGCCAUCGGAAGCGGACCUACUCCCUGACCACCCCGUGCCGGCAGCGGCCCGCCCCGCCGCAGGUCUCCUCCGCCUCCCUCGACGAGUACACGCUGAUGCGCGCCACCUUCGCCGGCAGCGCCGGCCGCCUCUUCCCCUCCUGCCAAGCCGGGGCUUCCCCCAAAGUGACCUACACCCCCUACCCCGAGGACUACGGGGACAUCGAGAUCGGCUCCCACCGCAGCUCCGGCAGCAGCAGCACCAACCUGGGGCCGCCGGCAGGGGGGGGAGGACGAGGAGGAGGGGGAGAUGAUGACGGCUACAUGCCCAUGACCCCCGGCGUGGCCGCAGCCUUGGGGCAGGGAAGCCGGGGCAGCGACGACUACAUGCCCAUGAGCCCCACCAGCGUGUCCGCCCCCAAGCAGAUCCUGCAGCCUCGGGCGGGGGUGGGUGGCGGGUCCCCCGGCAACGGGAGCAGCUACAAGACUAGCUCACCCGGGGAGAGCUCCCCUGACGAUAGCGGGUACAUGCGGAUGUGGUGCGGCUCCAAGCUGUCUGUGGAGAGCUCAGACGGGAGGCUGAGUAACGGCGACUAUAUCAAUAUGUCCCCUCGGGACCCCCAGCAUGUGCCCCAGGCUCCCUCCCUCACCCCCCCGGACUUCUUUUUCGCCCCUUCGGGGCACGGGUCCAGCGAGCCCCCCAAGCCCAGCUGCUAUUCGUACAGCUCCUUGCCCCGCUCCUACAAGAGCCAGGGCCUGGUGAAAGACAGUGACCAGUAUGUCUUCAUGAACUCCCCGGGGAGGAUGAUCCCAGAGGAGGCGGUGUGCGGAGCGGGCCAGUCGCCCGCCGGUCACUUUGCCCCCUCCAGCCACACGGUGCCUUCGCCCCUGCGGCACAGCCGGACCGAGAGCUUCCUGAGCCAGCGGUGUCAGCGGGUGGCCCGGCCCAGCCGCCUCUCUUUGGAGACCUUGCGGACGAUGCUGCCCAGCAUGAACGAGCACCCUCUGCCACCCGAGCCCAAGAGCCCCGGCGAAUACAUCAACAUCGACUUCGGGGACGCUGCCGUCUACUCGCCCCCCUCGCUGCCUGCUGACAGCCCGGCCUCCUCCCUGGGCUCAGGCACGGGGCAGAGGCGCUCCCCUCUCUCCGACUACAUGAACAUUGACUUCGGGUCACAGUCGCCCUCCCAGUCGGGCACGGUCUCGGUGGGCUCCCUGGAAGCGCUCUCGCCAGGCUCUUCCUCCAGCACCAGCCAGCCCGAUGGGCGCUACCUGAAGGCGGCUGUGGGGGUGGCUUGUUUGUCCAGCCCAUCCGAUGGUGGGGAUUACACUGAGAUGACCUUUGGGAUGGCCACCACCCCACCUCAACCCAUCGUUCAGAAGCCAGAAAGUGCCCGGGUCACCAGCCCCACAGCUGGGGUGAAGAGGCUCACCCUUUCUGGGGUGGAGGCUUUCAUUCUCUCCAGCCCUCCCCCAGACCCGAACCGGGGGGCCAAGGUCAUCCGGGCAGAUCCCCAGGGGCGCAGGAGGCACAGCUCGGAAACUUUCUCCUCCACCACCACUGUGACCCCCGUGUCCCCCUCCUUCGCACACAACCCCAAACGGCACAACUCGGCCUCGGUGGAGAACGUGUCCCUCAGGAAAAGCGAAGGCCUGGAGGAGGAGCAGGGUAGCAGCCCCAUGUGCCGGGAGACCUCGGCUGGCUUCCAGAACGGCCUCAACUACAUCGCCAUUGACGUGGUGGACGGGACCCUGGCAAACUGUGACAAAGCCAGGUCGAAAGCCAGGCACGUCCUGAACGGGGGCAUCAACGGAGUGGAGAUGAGCGCCUAUGCCAGCAUAGACUUUCUGUCUCACAACCUGAAAGAAGCGAGUGCUGUGAAAGGAGGUACAGGAGGAUGGAAAAGAUGAGAGAUCCACCGUUUGCAGAGCAAGCUUUGAGCCUAAUUAAGACGAGAGGAUUGUUGAAUGAAAUGGCAAGCUUUUUAAACGCAGACCACAUCGGAGAAGUGUUCUGGGGAAGCUCGUUGAGAUUCACUGGCUGACUUCUCCAUCGCCCCGCUUCCCUGAGAAGCGCGCGUGCCUGCUGGGCGCACCCAGGGUCGGGGGGCUCGGGGAUGACUGUGGCCGGUAUCGGGCCAUGGCGGUAAGGAAAAAAACCCACACGAGCAUCAUCAGUCAGCAGCGUGCAGGGUUAGGUACCAAACCCAAGGUUUUCAGGUUAAUUGCGCAUAUGGCAGGCGAACUGGAACAGUCACAGCAUGGGGAAGAAAUACAUCACAAAGGACUUUAUUGGUGUGAGUCGAAGCAAGUCGUUAACUUCUGCAAAUUUCCUAGUUUCUCUUCUGGUUUUCAUUGGGAUUUCACACUGAAGUUUGUUUACGGAAAGACUUCUGCCACUGUUGAAAAAGAUCACCAAGUAUUGUGGCAGUGUAUUUAAAUUUCAAACAUGGUGAUUUGGGAGACUACUAAGAAUUUCUUGUUUUACAGAGAAACACGUAUGCAGUUGAAAGAAAAUUGUUUUUUGAGCAUAAGCAAGAUUAUUUUAACACAGUAGUAAUUCAGGUAGAUUUGAGAGAAUCUAAUUUUGUAAAAAUUAAUGGUUCGCACAAGAGAUAGCUUAUAUAUAAUCAGCAUUGUUUACUUAGUUGUUUGCACUUUUUUCAAAUUUUGUUUUUUGACUAUAUUAGCAAAGUGAGAAGCUUUACUUCUUCAGAACUUCUUCACAAACCAAGAGCGGUUUCUAGCAAUUUUCAAACAAUGGAGAAGUCACAUUUAUUUAAUAUUUAGAACAGGAGAGUCUCAGAGAUACAGGGUAUACAAACAAGCUCCUCAUAGUUACCUUCUCAGUAAAUUAAUAUUUCUAUUUGUGUAAAAUACAUGUAGAAACCCAGUUUGAAUUCUUCCUGAAGGCCUGUAGCAGUAGAUGUGUUUUUGUGGGGAUAAAGGGAAAUUAUUUGUAUCAUGUAAAGGUGGCUGGUUUUCACCCAUAGCUUGUCUAUCAGUAACUUGCCUCUGCUGUAGGGAGUGCUGUGCUUUUGGAAAUCUCUGUCCAUAUUACCCUGUCGUGGCAAGAGCAAGCAAGUGCACCCACAACUGCUGUCAAAACAGAAAAAUUAAAAGGUCGCUUGAAAUUACUGGUUCGUUUAGUUUUACUGUGUUCUGAAAGUGUGCAACUAUUUAAGAAUUGGAGAAACACUUGCCUUCACCUGAUGUAUAAAUAAAAUAAUACUGUUACUGGUUGGUUAAAACUUGUUACUUGCUGAUAAUUAGCCUUUGUUCUUAAAUUAUGACCGCUUCUUUGCUUAAAAACGUAUGAACUGUGUAUGGUUUUCAUUAUUUAUGGAGACGUUUACACUCAUUUUUCUCAUAUAGUGUAGUGUAAAUUAUUUAUUCUAGUAUAUUUAUGACAGAUUACACCCAAUAACGAUGUGACGUUUUAUGGUGGAUCUUAGUUCUAUUGAAAUCAAAUGGCAGUUUUGUGUCUAUUUCGGUGGGGUUAAGAUUAUACCCUUGGUGUGUAAUACUGAAAUUCUUAAGUAAAAUUCCCAUUAAAUUUACUGGGUGUGUAAUAGGGAAUUUUGCUUAAUUGAAAACACCAGACUUGGGUGGGUUAUCUUUAAUUUUGUUUUCUUUUCCAUUAACAAAAUGCUCUGUAACUUGUAAAUGUUUCUAGUAGUUGGACUAGUUUUCUAAAAUUGAACAGAUACUAUGUGUAAUGGUGCAAAAAACCCUCCAAAACCCUGAGGGUUGUUUUCCUCCUGUGUUAGUUUCUUUUGUCUUGAUUUAUUUAAAGAAGUCGUCAUCUGUAAUGCAUAUAUUUAAGAUCGUAAUAAGGUGAUUUUUGAUAAUAAUGACCCCCUCGCCUUGUCAAUUAGCUCUUACUUUUGUGAGAGUUUUAUGAUUGCACCUAAACAAUAAAAAGCCUAUCUUAAGAAAUCUCUUCCUGUGUCUUUCUAAUGGCAUUUUAGAUUCUUGAAGACAUAACCCUUGUUUCCUUUUUUUUUUUGUUCUUUUUUUUUUUGUUUGGGAUUACUUGGAACAAUGAAUUAUAUUAUUAGGGUUUCCCCCCCCCUCUAAUAUGCCAAGUGUCACAAAGUUUUGGUUCUCAGGGCAGCAUGAGAAUGUUUAAUUGUCUUUUUUAUAAAACUUGUAUUCAUUUUUAAAUGGUUUCUUAAAAGUAUUAAAAAACCCCUAUAUGCUGUGUUAGAAAUCUAUACAACUUUCAGUCUUUUUUGAAUAAAUUAGUUGUAAGUGUAGUAGCUUCUCUUAUUGAUAAGUUCUGUGAGAACAUCAGAAUUAAAGCAGAAAGAACUGAACUACUUUUAAUACCUUACAUUUUUUUUUUACCUCUUACGCUUAGAAUUUAAAAAACAAUGUUUUCUUUUACUACCUCUAGAAAUGCAUUUGUUGCUCAGACUAUAUUUCAGAGGUGACCAAACCAAGAUGGCUAGGUCUGAACCUAGCAGUGCCAUAUGUGAAACAGGAAAUGUAAACUGAAGUUAUCUAAGAUUAAAUAAUGCCUUUGAUAUUUUUAAUUAUGUUGAUUAUAUGGAUGUCAGCUUUUUACAAGCAGACAGAAUAUUAAAAUGUGUAACAUGUAUUAGACUUUUAUUUUCCUUUAUACUUUAAAUUAUGUUUAACUAUACAGCUCAUAGAAAGAAUGUCAUGGUUACUUUGAGUCAUUUAAGAUAAAUUGUUAUAGGCCAAGUGAAUGGUGGGUUUGUUCUAAAAUGAACCAGUACAGUCAUUGCUCAAGGCAGAGGAAAUGCUUAGGUUGAUGAUUGUUUCUGAUUACUUGAUUUCUUUCAAGAUAGCUACAGAGACUAACGUUCGCUUGUAAGUAAAAUGGAUAAAGGAAUGUUUGAACACAAAGAGCAUUAGGAUGUGUUUUACAUGGUGGUGAUUUUUUUUUUAAUGAGGGAAUAACAUGGGUUUCUUUACACUUGGUUUACUAUUAUUUUUAAAUAGGAUUAAUUACACUGGAAUGCUGAAGUGGUAUAAAAGUUGAAACACAUCAAGCAUCCACAGAAAAAUUCGGCUAGAUUUAGUGGAUGCAAUCUAACUUCUCUUUCUAUUCAGCAGUUAAAUGACAACAUAGGUACAUCCAUGUAUUUUCUGUUUAUAUAUCAGAUUUUCUCUAAAGCGUCAUUAAUACGUUUCUUUUGAAAGUAAUAAACACAUAAAGAAAUAGCUCUAUCUGGGGUCUUUUUUUUUUUUUUUCUUCUCCAAUUUGUUGAGGUAUAGCGUGCUUUUGUACUGGUCAUCCAUAUGUUUUCUCUUUGUGUCUAGGUGUGUUGUGUAUUAGUCAAGAUAUAGUUCAGCAGAGUUUGUGGAAGUUUAAAUGUUACAUGCGAAAUAACAAUUUAAAGCGAGUAUAGUGACUGAUUUGAUAAAUUCGGAUGUGUAAUUAGGAGGGUGACAACUCUUUGUUUUUUGUUGUUGUUUCUUACAGUGUUUGCUUAGAAGCUAUCUGUGUAUGGAUGGUAAUCAGUAGCAUCCCUUGAGGUUUUUAGAAGCCAGUGUAGUGACCCCAAAGUUCAGAUAUGUUUUGUUUGUGUGUCUGUUAUCUGGCGUGUAGCUAUUUUUAAAGUUUUUGUGUGUAUGGAUGUGUAGGGGGUCAAGAGUGGCAGCCUUGAAAAGCCAAGUUCAGCUGAGCAGUCCCCUUGCUGCCGGUUGUUGAAAAGGCUGGUUUUCCUCCAUCGACCUUUCCAAAGGAAAACUUUCCUUGGGUUUUUGGGUUGGUUGGUUUUGGGUGCUGGGGUGGUUUUUUGGGUUUUUUUUGGGCAGGAGGGGAAGGGGGUUUUACCUAAAGGCAGCUGAGACAAAUAUGAGUGUAUCCAGCACAUGAGCAUCUCGGGUUAGUCGGUCCUCCAGGCGCUCUCAAGAGCCAGCAGCAGUAAAGAGCCAGCAAGGGUGACGGCUCCCACGUCUUUUAAAUGCAAGCUGUAAAGUAGCAUGAAUUUUUCCCCUGCAUCUCUUGUCAGUUACAGAGGAAACCAGGAUUACUGGUUUAGAUUGUAUUUGCAGUUUCCACGUUAAUUUAGGUAGGAUGAAUCCCUUAGUUGUAGGGUUGUAAGGGUUUGUAUUUAAAGCAAGCUUUUAAGACUUAGGCAUUAUAAGCCUGAUCCAAAACACAGAGAAAUCAAUGUAAAGAUUGCUUACAUCUUUACAGAGGCUUACCUAACAAAAUACACUUCAUUUGUAAGUAACAUUUGAGGCCGACUCAAAGACAGCAGUAGUACGCAAUCUCCGCUGUGUUGCCAGUCAGUAACGAAUAACUUUCCUGAGGAAUAGGAAUGAUCACAGCGGCUGGUCUGGGAAGUGCGUGCACAUUUGCGUGGAGUUGUGCUAUUGCUUGGUAGCUGAAGUGAAAAACGGGCGUUAAAGUAGCACUGUUUAGGAAAGACGUUCAGUCUGAUCGGGAGAAUUCCCUUUGGAAAUUGAUUUAAAAGACCAAAGACAAUACUCAACGCUCUGUUACUGUCCAGGUUUUUUUACUUUCAAAAAUUUUUUUCAAAACAAAUGGUCUCAAUUUUUUUUAAUCAGCGAUUAUGGCCCAACAGUGUGUAUAGGUGUAUCAAAAAAAGUAAUUAAAACAAUCUAGUUCUUGCACACACUGAAGGGCAAUACACUCUGGGAAGAGGAACAUUACAAGUUAACAGUGGGGAAAUACUUUCCAAAAUAAACAUCACUGAUAGUAGGGUUUGUUUGGGGUUUUUUUUUGUUGUUUAUUUUCAAAUACAGAUUUGCCAGUCUCAGUUAAAUGAAAGUUAUUUUUAGAGUGUGUUUUUUGUCUCAGUAAAUCAAUCACAGAAAUAGUUAAGGGAGAAAACCAAACCCAAAAAAACAACAAAACAACCCAUGCCCUAGGCCUAAGCCCCCAUCUCUGAUGGUAACAUUUACAUUGCAGAAGAGUGAUGCAAUAGCUUGAUUCCAUAGAUUAGGAAUGAUUCAGUGUUUUGUUUACAUUAUUUGUCAAUCUCUUCAGCAUCCUAGAGGAGAACACUUCCUUCCUGGCAGAUGGCAGCCCCAGGGCCAUGCACCUGCCAUUACAAGCACUACGCACUAGUAAUCUACCCCAGCAUCGCUGUUGACAAGAGGCUAAUGAUUGGAGACUGUCUGCCUGACAGCCUAAACAAAAUAGGAACAUAUUUGUCCUUCAGCGAGGGUCUGAGAGAUCUUAGGAAGGACGGUCAGGACAGUAUACUGAAGAAUUACAAUGGAAUUUAAUCUAGACCUCUUUGGUAGUGUUUGCAUUGCGAGCCACUUUUAAGAUAAUGAUGCUGCAGAAAGCGAAUGAUGUCUCAAAGAAGGGAUUUUCUGUUUCUCUGGCAGAGCGAUAGCCGACUUUAUAUUAAUAGCUCUGUGUCGAUGGGAGGAAGGCUUGCAUGAUUUAGCUGGCCAUGCCACGGUCCUCUGCAGCAGAGUCUGCCCUCGCUGGAAGUGGGGGGUCGGACGUACUUGUGCAGGGCUCCGUCUUGUGCUGCUAAGUGGAGCCAAAAAAGAAAGUCAGAAGGUCUCUUUAAUUGUUUGAGUGGUGUGUUUGAUGCUUGCAUAAUGCAUUCCUGUUUCAAUCAUUUCGUUUGUAAUAGUAUAUGCUUUUAUUAUGUCAUUAGACCAGGAUCUCUUAUUUUAUCUUCUAUUCCUUUCUCUUAGGCAUUUAUGUGUGUUUGCUUUUCUUCUUUGAAAUAAGUGGGCGACAUUUCUAGGGGACGCUACCCAAGGCGAGGGUAUCUUUGAAGUAGGCCAGGAUGUUCUUUGCUAAAUUUAAAAACUACCCAAAUAUUACCCAGAGUUUGUAGAGUAUUAAGCAGGAUUACAUGACGCACGGAUUAGACAUUGUUGAGCAGCUUGUUUUUGUUUGAAGGGGUCAGAAAUGGAGGCACGGGGGCUUUAGUGUGAUGCCAAAAUAGCAAACUUGCUGAUACCAGAAACAGCAGAAGUUUCUUAGAAACAGUAAAACACAGUGGAGAACUUUCCAAGCUUUUCCAAGUGAUGCUUUAGUAAAAUUUGUAUGAUGCGUGCUGCGAUGAUGAGCGUAAGCUAAUGAAACUCAUUGUUCCAUUUGGUCUCAAUUUCCAAAUCCGUUUCACAGAGACUUUAGAGUAAGAACAACACUCUAAGUGCAACUUGAGGCAGAGGACUUUGCUUCUCUUCAGUCAAAGACAAUCCAAUAAAUCAUUCCAGUAACAGUGGAAAAUCAUGUCAAUGAAAUAAGAUCUAAGCAGUUUUAGAUUUGUCUGUUGUGUUCUGUCCUCCCAGACAGUAUCUUAUUUAAGAAACAUUGUUUAAUACAGUCCUAAUGUCCAGUUUAACCCCUCAUUAAAUCAGCUAAUGUAUGGAAUGAGAACUCUGAAGAUUUUUUUAAAUUUUUUUUUUUCCCUUUGGAUCUAGGCUUUUGCUCACCAGAAGUCACCAGAUUGAUUGAGCAAGACAUCUGACAGUCUUUUGGGGGAGAGUUAGGCUUAACUCUUACAUAGGAGACAGUAGUGUUGAACGGUUGCUCAAGAACAAGAAAACAGUAGUGAUGCUGGCUUAGUCUGCCUUCACUGAUGGAGAUAACAGGCUACAGAGAGUUAUGUAUAAUAACUGCUAAUGCUACAUUUUAGCACUAUGUAAAAGAAACAAAAAUAGGAUGGACAAACACAUGAAAACCUCAGUUUUCUAGUUAAUGCAAAACCCCUUUACAUCACCAAAUUGACUGCUUCAACUAUCGUGGUCACUCUACUGCUUGAAUUAUUGAGAAGUUAUGGUGUGAAUUUCUUCUGUAGUCUUUUUGCCAGUUUCUCUGAUACUGAAUUUUUUCUAAAAACUCCAGUGAGUGGUUUUAGUUUACUUUAAAAGGCAGACUAAAUGUCAGGUGAUGUGUCUAACCAAAAUUUUCACUGAUACCCCAAAAAAGACUUCUUGCAAGGGAAUUAUCAGAUAUGGCUCUGGAAAGCGGAGGUAGAAUUCUUCUGUAAGGCAGAUGCACUCGGUCAUGUUGUAACAUCAUUUGUUUUUACAAUGUAAAAAUUUGGAGAACUUUAUAGGAGGGUGGACUUGCAUCUUUUACAACAGGUUUCAGUCCUGAACGAUUAUUUCUGUCAAAAUUAAUGAAAUAUAACUAUAAUGUACUGUCUCUUUAACAUAACAAAAAGUUACGCCUUUGUUGUAACAAUCUUGUACAGAAACUAUUAAUAUUAAUCACCAUCACAAAUCUUUAUCAAAGUUGUGAACUAUAAAAAGUCACUUUAUAAUAAAAUUAUUUACAACUAAUUAGUUUUGAUCUAGCAUAAAACUUUGAACAUCUAUAUUUGGAUUUGGAAUCAAACUUCUAUAACUUAAUGCAAGGGUGAAGUUAGAGAAUUAGCGCUCAGGACUUUAACAGUAGUUACAGAAAAAUGACUAUGUGAAGGAGUAUUAGGAAUAAACAUCUGUGUCCAUAUUUAUAUGAUCCUGAGGCACAGAAUACUUGACAGAAUUGGCCAUAAACCUAAAAUGAUUAGUACUUAUUACUUUAUAAUCCCAAUAGGCUAGCAGUUAUUCUCACAAAUACCAGCGAGAGAUUCUAACAUGCACCAAUGAGUGCUAUGAUAAUACUACUUUCUUUUGGAUAUCUACGGAAAGGUAACUUAGUACACUGUUCUGUUUCAGUCUUCAAAUGUCAAAUGAAAAUACUGUCAAGAUAAGCUUUUAACUUUAACCAUAACUGGUGUGUUUUUAAAUAAAUGGUAGAUUGCGUAGGUUCCAAAUAAAUAAAUUGGUAGUACUCGCUUGUUGAAUGUUAGCCAAUAGGAUGAUUUCCAGAUACAAAUGCACCAAUGUGUUUCAGCAGUGUAAGUAAUUUCUAGUCCAGGUCCUCUCUUAAUUUUUCUCUGUUAGUAUGAAUGUUCAAGUGACAGUAAACAAAAAGCUUUGUCAGACAUGAGAUAGUCCAUCUGUUAUUUAAAAAAAAAAAAGUCAGAAUCUGAUAGUAGUGAAAUAGCUGGACUUUUUUGUUAUUGAUUUUUAGUAGAACUAGAAUUCAGCCCUCAGGAAAUAAAUCGAUUGACUUUUAUUUUAAUAAAUGUAUACUCGACUAUGCUAGGAAGUGGAAACAAUACACUUGGAUCUUGCAGCGUGAGUGAGCACGGUCAAACUGGUGUGUCUGAAUGCAGAGGGAGCUGGUCUGUGCUGUGAAAGAGCUACGUAGGAUGUUUAGAUACCACGCUGCUGCUGAUGGAGUCAUUGCGAGAGGUCAUUUAGAGACUCUUCUGCGAGUCUGAAAUUAUUCCCUAAGUCUUGAGUCUGCUUCAUCGGUCACGAACAUGGCAAGCUUUAACUUGCCAUACUGGCCAUGUGGCUGCUAUGUUGUCAUAUUAAGAGAAAAUACUGCAAUAUUUUCUAUUCCUCUCACUCCUCGGUAGAUGUUUUCCAUUUUCUUUGUACUCAUAGAUUGGCUGUUGUCACUUUUGCAGGGUGAUAACGUUUCAACCAUACUAUUUUAUGAGAGUUAGUUACAUGAUAUUUUUGAUCAUCUAGAUUCAGGCUUGUAUUCUACUUAUUUUUACUUUGCAAAAGAAUAUAAUUGUAUUGAUUUUUACUAAUAAUUUCUAUAUUGUUAUAGUGCAGCUUGCUCUGUUUCC